ensembl:lncRNA
CAAACUAGUGAAGGAAGAGAUAACUAAUCUCCCUUUUGUUCCAAGACUCUCUUCUCUUUAAAAAGGAAAUGUCCCUUAAAGACCAGCCUUCAGCUGUGUGUGUUAUCUGAUAACCCCUUCACGUGUGGCGUGCAAAUCACUGCUUCAGAUCAGCAGCCGUUCUGGACAUGCAUGGAGCAGGGAGGGGGCCUGUCAUCUUGGGAGGAGCAGGUUAUUACAGGUGACCUGGAACUGUGCUCCAUCGGCCCGAAUGUCUGAUUUUGGAGCUGUGUGAACCCCCAGGAGCCCGAUUGAUGUGUGCCCUGUCACCCCAAGCACGUGUCCUGAACUGGGUGAAGAACCCCGUUCCUGAGGUUCUGCUGGCUUUUGUGGUGGUGGGCCGUUACCAAUUACCGAACACCUACUUUGUAUAAGAGCUGGCAUACUUCGCCUCAUUUAGUUCUCCCGACAAGCCUGGAAGGCAGGAUCAUAAUCCCCUCAUCUUACUGGUGAACAGAGACGGUGGAAAGGGCAGAGCGGCCGUGUGAGUGUAGCCCAGCCCAGACCCCCUCCACCUUCCAUGGGGCUCCCUGCCCAGCUGGUGCCGGGCUUCCAGGAAAUGGACAGACAGAGCUUGAGCCCCAGGUCCCAGAGGCGUGAGUUCUUUGAGCAGCUCCUGGCAGCAGGGCUUCAAGCCUCUGCUAACCUGUUCUGGAUGACUUCUCCCCCCUCCGUUUUGCCACCGUGCAGUCUGUCUCAUCUAGAAGGACUCAGUGUUGCUCCUCGGCUAAGAAUAGAAGAAGCCUUCAAACUCUCCCCGUGACGGCACCGUCCAUCACCUAAUACAAAUCAGAUGGCAGAUACAGUUUUCAUACAACAUGUCUUCAGUAUUGGGCUUCCCAAGUGGCUCAGUGGUAAAGAAUCUGCCUGCAAUGCAGACCUGGCGUCGAUCCCUGGGUCAGGAAGAUGCCCUGGAGGAGGAAAUGGCACCUACUCCAGUAUUCUUGACUGGUGAAUCUCAUGGACCGAGGAGCCUGGUGCUGGAGGGGACCCACUAAAACCCAACUGAUAACUUGAAAAAUGUGUUCUGGAAAGUGAGGAGCAUGCCUUCCCUGAAUGAUGGAGUUGUCUUAUGUGUCUGCCUGGAUCUUAUCCCUUAGCGGGAAUGAGGGAGAGAAACGGGCGUUUGCGACUCUAGGUUUUACGCCAGCAUCUCAGGGCAGCUUCUGAAUGUUUCUAACGAAUGAACAAAUAACCCCAAAGGCCUCUUCCCAAUCCCCUUUCCUUGCUCUGUUUCCAGAUGCCUGCUGCAC